GGAAUAUUGGACAAUGGGCGAAAGCCUGAUCCAGCGACGCCGCGUGUGUGAAGAAUGCCUGCGGGUUGUAAAGCACUUUCGAUGGGAACGAAAUGUGCCGGGCUAAUACCCCGGCAAGCUGACGUUACUCAAUGAAGAAGCCCCUGCUAACCCUGUGCCAGCCGCCGCGGUAAUACCGAGGGUGCGAGCGUUAAUCGGAAUGACUGGGCGUAAAGGGCACGUAGGUGGCGACGUAAGUCGGGUGUGAAAGCCCCGGGCUCAACCUGGGAAUUGCAUUCGAGACUGCAUUGCUGGAGUACGGAAGAGGAGGGCGGAAUUCCCGGUGUAGCGGUGAAAUGCGUAGAUAUCGGGAGGAACAUCAGUGGCGAAGGCGGCCCUCUGGUCCAGUACUGACACUCAAGUGCGAAAGCGUGGGGAGCAA
rnacentral:rRNA from 1 species